GAUGAAGAACGCAGCGAAAUGCGAUAAGUAAUGUGAAUUGCAGAAUUCAGUGAAUCAUCGAAUCUUUGAACGCACAUUGCGCCCGCCAGUAUUCUGGCGGGCACGCCUGUUCGAGCGUCAUUACAACCCUCAGGCCCCCGGGCCUGGCGUUGGGGAUCGGCGGAAGCCCCCUGCGGGCACAACGCCGUCCCCCAAAUACAGUGGCGGUCCCGCCGCAGCUUCCAUUGCGUAGUAGCUAACACCUCGCAACUGGAGAGCGGCGCGGCCACGCCGUAAAACACCCAACUUCUGAAUGUUGACCUCGAAUCAGGUAGGAAUACCCGCUGAACUUAAGCAUAUCAAUAAGCGGAGGA
rnacentral:misc_RNA from 1 species